CCUACGGGUGGCAGCAGUGAGGAAUAUUGGUCAAUGGCCGCAGGGCUGAACCAGCCAAGUCGCGUGAGGGAUGACUGCCCUACGGAUUGUAAACUUCUUUUGUCAGGGAGUAAAGUGCGGCACGUGUGCCUUUUUGUGUGUACUUUAUGAAUAAGCAUCGGCUAACUCCGUGCCAGCAGCCGCGGUAAUACGGAGGAUUCGAGCGUUAUCCGGAUUUAUUGGGUUUAAAGGGAGCGUAGGUGGGUUGUUCAGUCAGUUGUGAAAGUUUGCGGCUCAACCGUAAAAUUGCAAUUGAUACUGGCAGUCUUGAGUACAGGUGAGGUAGGCGGAAUUCGUGGUGUAGCGGUGAAAUGCUUAGAUAUCACGAAGAACUCCGAUUGCGAAGGCAGCAUACUAA
rnacentral:rRNA from 1 species